GCUGUGGCCACGAUAAUCUCCAUUCUCUUCCUAUCUUUCUUUCCACACGGGACGCCAGAACGCUAUUCAUCACAUUCAAGAUUGACUGUUCGUCGCCUCGCCGGCCACCCUGCCAGUACCUCGCUGCUCUCUGUUGAAUGAAGAUGUGGCGCUUCGCUAGGUUAACACUGCUGAUGACGUUUGCUUUUCUUAAGGUUGCGCCUGGGUGUGUUCCUGAGCAACAAACAGCCAAGGUUGCGCCUGGGUGUGUUCCUGAGCAACAAACAGCCAAGGUUGCGCCUGGGUGUGUUCCUGAGCAACAAACAGCCAAGGUUGCGCCUGGGUGUGUUCCUGAGCAACAAACAACAAGAUAGGUUGCGCUUGGGUAGCAACCUUCGGUAACCUCUUCGGUAACCUGUGUUCCUGAGCAAGAUGAUUAAAAAGUAGUGCAGAUUAAGAACGCCGUUCCAACCGAGAGGGACACACACACACAGCAGGUUGUUGUUACUUUUGUAACGUUUUUUUUAAUUCUAACUACUAACUACUACUACUACUACUACUACUACUACAAUUUGUGUUCAAUCAUACAUAUAUAACAAAACUUGUUCUGAUAUUUUUUUUUGUGCUUGCUUUUGUGAUUUUCCAGUUAAGUAAAGAUGUUU
rnacentral:lncRNA from 1 species